rnacentral:rRNA from 1 species
UCGGGAAUAUUGCCCAAUGGCCGAAAGGCUGAGGCAGCAACGCCGCGUGCGCGAUGAAGGCCUUCGGGUCGUAAAGCGCUUUUCGGGUGGAUGAGAGAGGACCGUACACCCGGAAUAAGGUACGGCUAACUACGUGCCAGCAGCCGCGGUAAAACGUAGGUACCGAGCGUUAUCCGGAUUUACUGGGCGUAAAGCGCGUUCAGGCGGUCGAACAAGUCGGGCAUGAAAUCCUUCGGCUCAACCGGGGGAGGCUGUCCGAUACUGUCCGACUGGAGGGCAGUAGAGGGUGGUGGAAUUCCGGGUGUAGUGGUGAAAUGCGUAGAGAUCCGGAGGAACACCAGUGGCGAAAGCGGCCACCUGGACUGUACCUGACGCUGACACGCGAAAGCUAGGGGAGCGAACGG